GUGAGGAAUAUUGGACAAUGGGCGCAAGCCUGAUCCAGCCAUGCCGCGUGCAGGAAGACGCAUCUAUGGUGUGUAAACUGCUUUUGUACGGGAAGAAACACUCCCUCGUGAGGGAGCUUGACGGUACCGUAAGAAUAAGGAUCGGCUAACUCCGUGCCAGCAGCCGCGGUAAUACGGAGGAUCCAAGCGUUAUCCGGAAUCAUUGGGUUUAAAGGGUCCGUAGGCGGUUUAAUAAGUCAGUGGUGAAGGACCAUCGCUCAACGAUGGAACGGCCAUUGAUACUGUUAGACUUGAAUUACAAGGAAGUAACUAGAAUAUGUAGUGUAGCGGUGAAAUGCUUAGAUAUUACAUGGAAUACCAAUUGCGAAGGCAGGUUACUACUUGUGGAUUGACGCUGAUGGACGAAAGCGUGGGGAGCGAACAGGAUUAGAAACCCCGGUAGUCC
rnacentral:rRNA from 1 species